AUGCAUGGGCGAAGCCUGAUGCAGCGACGCCGCGUGAGGGAUGACGGCCUUCGGGUUGUAAACCUCUUUCAGUAGGGAAGAAGCGAAAGUGACGGUACCUGCAGAAGAAGCGCCGGCUAACUACGUGCCAGCAGCCGCGGUAAUACGUAGGGCGCAAGCGUUAUCCGGAAUUAUUGGGCGUAAAGAGCUCGUAGGCGGUUUGUCGCGUCUAUCGUGAAAGUCCGAGGCUCAACCUCGGAUCUGCGGUGGGUACGGGCAGACUAGAGUGAUGUAGGGGAGACUGGAAUUCCUGGUGUAGCGGUGAAAUGCGCAGAUAUCAGGAGGAACACCGAUGGCGAAGGCAGGUCUCUGGGCAUUAACUGACGCUGAGGAGCGAAAGCAUGGGGAGCGAACAGGAUUAGAUACCCUGGUAGUCCAUGCCGUAAACGUUGGGCACUAGGUGUGGGGGACAUUCCACGUUUUCCGCGCCGUAGCUAACGCAUUAAGUGCCCCGCCUGGGGAGUACGGCCGCAAGGCUAAAACUCAAAGGAAUUGACGGGGGCCCGCACAAGCGGCGGAGCAUGCGGAUUAAUUCGAUGCAACGCGAAGAACCUUACCAAG
rnacentral:rRNA from 1 species